rnacentral:pre_miRNA from 1 species
GAAAGGGAACAAAUGAAGCUGCCAGAGCAUGACCUAGCCAGGAUUAGCAUCACUCUAUUUUCUUAGUGUUCCAUGCUCAUAUCUUUUCACUCUUUAGCAUCUCUCUUGGAGACAUACAAGAGGAAUUCAUGUUUGUGGUCAAGUUCUUCAUCAACAUCGUAAUAGGUUUUCAUGCUCAAGGAUGUUGUUUGGUCCUUAAGCUAGAUCAUGCUGGCAGCUUCAUUCAUUCCCUUG